rnacentral:lncRNA from 1 species
CAAGAAGGAUUUAAAGACUCUCUCUUCCCAUUCGAUGAGCUGCUCUUAUGACGUGUAGGGGUGCCAGGUGAUUAGAUCCCAUGAAGAAGAAAGUGAAAGGAGAAAACUUACUUUCUUGCAAAAUCCUAGAUCUUGAAACUCUAGGUGUUAUUGUAUGUCAUGCAAGUUGUGAAGAAGUUAGUUACAUCUAAUCUUGUUUAAUCAAAAUUAU